rnacentral:tRNA from 1 species
AUUUAAAUAGCUUAUACUUAGAGCAUUACACUGAAGUUGUAGGGGAAAUUUUUUAUUUUUAAAUA